rnacentral:rRNA from 1 species
UACAGAGGGUGCGAGCGUUAAUCGGAAUUACUGGGCGUAAAGCGUGCGUAGACGGUAGCGUAAGUCGGAUGUGAAAGCCCCGGGCUCAACCUGGGAAUUGCAUUCGAGACUGCGCUGCUAGGGUGCGGAAGAGGGAAGCGGAAUUUCCGGUGUAGCGGUGAAAUGCGUAGAUAUCGGAAGGAACAUCAGUGGCGAAAGCGGCUUCCUGGUCCAGCACCGGCGUUCAGGCACGAAAGCGUGGGGAGCAAACAGG